AAUUCUCAACCUCAAAAAGCUUUAUGUUUUCUGAGGCUUGGAUGUGGAGGUUUUGCCGGCUCGUUAAGAGUCAGCUCCUCUGAAAUGCAUUAGUGGAAACUGUUUGUAAUCCGCAUUGGUGUGAUAAUUAUCAGCGCUAUUGUGGCUACAAGCUCAUGCAGUGUUCGUUUGGGAAGUGCAUUAACGUGCUCUUUCUGUUUUUACUUGACCUGCACGAGUAUAGUAUCUGCUUCAAACCGUCCUAAGUUACUGGACAAUACUUGACUA
rnacentral:misc_RNA from 1 species